rnacentral:rRNA from 1 species
AAUGCUUGGGAACUUGCCUUUGCGAGGGGGAUAACAGUUGGAAACGACUGCUAAUACCGCAUAAUGUCUUCGGACCAAACGGGGCUUUUAGCUCCGGCGCAAAGAGAGGCCCAAGUGAGAUUAGCUAGUUGGUAAGGUAACGGCUUACCAAGGCGACGAUCUCUAGCUGUUCUGAGAGGAAGAUCAGCCACACUGGGACUGAGACACGGCCCAGACUCCUACGGGAGGCAGCAGUGGGGAAUAUUGCACAAUGGGGGAAACCCUGAUGCAGCCAUGCCGCGUGUGUGAAGAAGGCCUUCGGGUUGUAAAGCACUUUCAGUUGUGAGGAAAAGUUAGUAGUUAAUACCUGCUAGCCGUGACGUUAACAACAGAAGAAGCACCGGCUAACUCCGUGCCAGCAGCCGCGGUAAUACGGAGGGUGCGAGCGUUAAUCGGAGUUACUGGGCGUAAAGCGCACGCAGGCGGUUUGUUAAGCUAGAUGUGAAAGCCCCGGGCUCAACCUGGGAUGGUCAUUUAGAACUGGCAGACUAGAGUCUUGGAGAGGGGAGUGGAAUUCCAGGUGUAGCGGUGAAAUGCGAAGAUAUCUGGAGGAACAUCAGUG